AUUCCAGCGCAGCAUCACGCCGCUGCCCCGCGCGGGAUGCGGCGGCCCGCGCUUUGCCCGCGGGCCGGUCCGGCUCAACCGCGCCACUGCGGGACCCGCGCUCGACCCGCAGGGGUGCGGCACGUGCGGGGCCGGCGGGGAGGGGGAGGGGCCUCCCUGCCGCAGCGCCACGCGCGGGACAGCCGGGACAGCCGGGCGGUCGGGACACAGGCUCACUCGCCCAGUCGGGGAACACGGGACACUGUAAGGCACUUUCCCCGGUGUCUAAGAGCAACCGCUGCAAGCGCACAGCCGAGUCCCUGAAACUGGGACCCGUGGGCUCCCACGUUCGGGCUCAGACCCCAAGGUAUUUACUGAAGUCUUGAUAUGGAAGAGGCAAGACGCCAAGGCCUGCCGAGAGAGGUAUAUAUAAAACAGAGUUUACAGGUUGAAGAAGAUCAGGUUUGCUCUGCUGAGAUCUUGUGUGAAACAAAUACUUAGUGAACUUUUGCAGGUCAACUCCAAGCUCAUCUGGCCAGAUAGUACCCCACCACUCUAUGUUGGAGAAAGUCUUGCCUCAGCAUCUGAGUUAGUCUCAGCUGACAUCAUUCUGCCAAUUAGCUGGAGUCCAAGGAAGACAAGAAGCCACCAGCAUACCACCAGAAGUUUUUGGUUCAUCUCUCUGUAGAGUCCUGACAAAUGGAGCUCAACUAUGCAAUGUGGACCAAUACAUGCAUCUCCAUAGGGAAGAAUCCUUUAUCAUGUGUCCUUUCACAUGCUUGCAUUAGGAGAAAAUCCUUUAACCUUGUGUCUGCUUCAGUGAAACUUUCCUUCACAUGCCUGCUUUAGUAAAAUAUUCUUUCACUUGUGUCUGCUUCAGGAAAAUACUCUUUCACAUGUUUGCCCCAGCAAAACUCCAUCUGACACAUCUGACUUUCCAAAGAACCCUUAAGUGUCCACUGUACUUUAUUUUUUUUUAAUUGAAAGAAAAUUGUGAUAAAGUUUAAUAUCUGUUCAAGGGAACAAGUUUUCAGAAUCCUUUUUAUUUUUAUAGAUGUAUCCAAAAUAC